UACGAAGGGGGCUAGCGUUGCUCGGAUUGACUGGGCGUAAAGGGCGCGUAGGCGGAUAGUACAGUCAGGCGUGAAAUUCCUGGGCUCAACCUGAGGGCUGCGUUUGAUACGUGUUGUCUGGAGUUCGGAAGAGGGUCGUGGAAUUCCCAGUGUAGAGGUGAAAUUCGUAGAUAUUGGGAAGAACACCGGUGGCGAAGGCGGCGACCUGGUCCGAUACUGACGCUGAGGCGCGAAAGCGUGGGGAGCAAACAGG
rnacentral:rRNA from 1 species